GGGCCCGUGGUCUAGUGGUAUGAUUCUCGCUUAGGGUCCACCCUAAACACCUUCCUGCGAGAGGCCCCGGGUUCGAGUCCCGGCGGGCCCC